UCCUACGGGAGGCAGCAGUGGGGAAUAUUGCACAAUGGGGGAAACCCUGAUGCAGCGACGCCGCGUGAGUGAAGAAGUAAUUCGUUAUGUAAAGCUCUAUCAGCAGGGAAGAAAAUGACGGUACCUAAAUAAGAAGCCCCGGCUAACUACGUGCCAGCAGCCGCGGUAAUACGUAGGGGGCAAGCGUUAUCCGGGAUUACUGGGUGUAAAGGGUGAGUAGGCGGCACUGUAAAUAAGAUGUGAAAGCCUUAGGCUUAACCUGAGGAUUGCAUUAUAAACUGCAGAGCUAGAGUGCAGGAGAGGAA
rnacentral:rRNA from 1 species